GAUGAACGCUGGCGGCGUGCCUAAUACAUGCAAGUCGAGCGAACAGACGAGGAGCUUGCUCCUCUGACGUUAGCGGCGGACGGGUGAGUAACACGUGGAUAACCUACCUAUAAGACUGGGAUAACUUCGGGAAACCGGAGCUAAUACCGGAUAAUAUAUUGAACCGCAUGGUUCAAUAGUGAAAGACGGUUUUGCUGUCACUUAUAGAUGGAUCCGCGCCGCAUUAGCUAGUUGGUAAGGUAACGGCUUACCAAGGCAACGAUGCGUAGCCGACCUGAGAGGGUGAUCGGCCACACGGGAACUGAGACACGGUCCAGGCUCCUACGGGAGGCAGCAGUAGGGAAUCUUCCGCAAUGGGCGGAAGCCUGACGGAGCAACGCCGCGUGAGUGAUGAAGGUCUUCGGAUCGUAAAACUCUGUUAUUAGGGAAGAACAAAUGUGUAAGUAACUAUGCACGUCUUGACGGUACCUAAUCAGAAAGCCACGGCUAACUACGUG
rnacentral:rRNA from 1 species